rnacentral:rRNA from 1 species
UACGUAGGUGGCAAGCGUUGUCCGGAUUUACUGGGCGUAAAGAGCGCGCAGGCGGUCGUUCAAGUCGCGUGUGAAAGCCCCCCGGCUCAACUGGGGAGGGUCAUUCGAUACUGAUCGACUCGAAGGCAGGAGAGGGUAGUGGAAUUCCCGGUGUAGUGGUGAAAUGCGUAGAUAUCGGGAGGAACACCAGUGGCGAAGGCGACUACCUGGCCUGUUCUUGACGCUGAGGCGCGAAAGCUAGGGGAGCAAACGGGG